GGGGAUGUAGCUCAGCGGGAGAGCGCCUGCUUUGCAAGCAGGAUGUCGUGGGUUCAAAUCCCACCAUCUCCA
rfam:Hydrogenobaculum sp. Y04AAS1, complete genome.